CCCUUAGAUGUUCUGGGCCGCACACGCGCUACACUGAAGGAGGCAGCGUGUACUCCUGGAUCGAAAGAUUUGGGUAACCCGCGAAUCUCCUUCGUGCUAGGGAUUGAGGUUUGCAAUUAUCCUUCAUGAACGAGGAAUUCCCAGUAAGUGCAAGUCAUAAGCUUGCGCUGACUACGUCCCUGCCCUUUGUACACACCGCCCGUCGCUACUACCGAUUGAGUGAUCCGGUGAAUAAUUCGGACUGCAGCUUUGAACAGUCCCUGUUCUCGGCUUGCGGAAAGUUUAGUGAACCUUAUCACUUAGAGGAAGGAGAAGUCGUANCA
rnacentral:rRNA from 1 species